CAGUCGCGCGGGAAAACGUAGGGUGCAAGCGUUAAUCGGAAUUACUGGGCGUAAAGCGUGCGCAGGCGGUUAUAUAAGACAGAUGUGAAAUCCCCGGGCUCAACCUGGGAACUGCAUUUGUGACUGUAUAGCUAGAGUACGGCAGAGGGGGAUGGAAUUCCGCGUGUAGCAGUGAAAUGCGUAGAUAUGCGGAGGAACACCGAUGGCGAAGGCAAUCCCCUGGGCCUGUACUGACGCUCAUGCACGAAAGCGUGGGGAGCAAACAGGAUUAGAUACCCCCGUAGUCCCUGUCUCUUAUACC
rnacentral:rRNA from 1 species